CCUACGGGUGGCAGCAGUGAGGAAUAUUGGUCAAUGGCCGGAAGGCUGAACCAGCCAUGCCGCGUGAAGGUCAGUGCCCUAUGGGCGUUAAACUUCUUUUGUGCGGGAGCAAUAAUGGUCACGUGUGGCCAGACGAGAGUACCGUACGAAUAAGCAUCGGCUAACUCCGUGCCAGCAGCCGCGGUAAUACGGGGGAUGCAAGCGUUAUCCGGAUUUAUUGGGUUUAAAGGGUGCGUAGGCUGUGAUGUAAGUCAGUUGUGAAAGUUUGCGGCUCAACCGUAAAAUUGCCGUUGAAACUGGGGGGUUUGAGUAUGUUUGAGGCAGGCGGAAUGCGUGGUGUAGCGGUGAAAUGCUUAGAUAUCACGCAGAACCCCGAUUGCGAAGGCAGCCUGCCAAGCCAUGACUGACGCUGAUGCACGAAAGCGUGGGGAUCAAACAGGAUUAGAUACCCUAGUAGUC
rnacentral:rRNA from 1 species